rnacentral:tRNA from 1 species
AUUAUUUUGGCAGAUUAGUGCAAUGGAUUUAGAAUCUUUAUAAGUAAUUUUUUUUUUACAAAUAAUA